rnacentral:rRNA from 1 species
AUACGGAGGGUGCGAGCGUUACUCGGAGUCACUGGGCGUAAAGCGUCCGUAGGCGGUCGGGUAAGUCGGGUGUGAAAGCCCCGGGCUCAACCUGGGAAGUGCACCCGAUACUGCUCGACUCGAGUGCGGGAGAGGAUGGCGGAAUUCCCGGUGUAGCGGUGAAAUGCGUAGAGAUCAGGAGGAACACCAGUGGCGAAGGCGGCCAUCUGGCCCGCAACUGACGCUGAGGGACGAAAGCGUGGGGAGCAAACAGGAUUAGAAACCCUAGUAGUCC